UCCCUUAUUCCUCUUACGUGAUGCCAAUCUGAUAUUGGCACCCACAUAGGCGUGAGGAAAGAAAAAGAGUCUUAGUAAAUUAGGACUCUAGCAUCUUAAGCAAUUUGGAUUCAAUUCAGAUUCAAUUCGAAUCCAAUUUGAAUCUGAUUCAAGCCCAAUUCGAUCUAGACUCAAUCCUAAUCCAAUUAGGAUUUAAUUUUGAAACCAAAAGCCCAAUUAGGU
rnacentral:lncRNA from 1 species